UGUUGAGGUAGCCAAGCCUGGUAUGGCGCAGGUUUGCUAAACCUGUGUCCGAAAGGACUCGGGAGUUCAAAUCUCCCCCUCAGCGU
rnacentral:tRNA from 1 species